UACGGAGGGGGCUAGCGUUAUUCGGAAUUACUGGGCGUAAAGCGCACGUAGGCGGCUUUGUAAGUUAGAGGUGAAAGCCUGGAGCUCAACUCCAGAAUUGCCUUUAAGACUGCAUCGCUUGAAUCCAGGAGAGGUGAGUGGAAUUCCGAGUGUAGAGGUGAAAUUCGUAGAUAUUCGGAAGAACACCAGUGGCGAAGGCGGCUCACUGGACUGGUAUUGACGCUGAGGUGCGAAAGCGUGGGGAGCAAACAGG
rnacentral:rRNA from 1 species